CCUACAGAAUCACGAAGACUCGAUUUCCCGGCAAGCUUCACGGUGGGGGUGUGCGUGCCAUGGUAGCUUCCAGGGAGACGUAGUUCUGCCGCCUCCGUCGCCAGUUGUCACCGCAAGAGACGAACUCAGUUUCCCAGGUGGCUGUGCGGUAGCCAGUCUGAAGUCGAACUUCUGGAGAGUUUGAACCCAGCCGCCGGCAAUAGUAGCAGGCAUUGAUUUGGCACGGUGGGGCGCGUAUCCUGGAUCAGGGACGGUCUCCACCAAGAUUCGGCGCAUUCAGAUCCCACCUUGCCCCGGCCGGCCGCGGGGUAAUCAACUAGGACACGAGGAGGGCAGGCCUGAAUGGAGAGACAAACCAGACACAGAAGGGAGACCAAGACAAUAUUCUGAUCAAGGUCUCACUUUAUUGGAGAAGGAGAGCAACGGCACAAGACGCCAAGGGAGCCAGACUCCCGCCACCAGGAUAUGAGCCAGAGCUUGAGUUGGUCUGAGCAGCUUGAUGUGCUUCUCAAUGCAACUGAUAGAAAUGUGGCCCGGAUUAAGCAGCGGCUGUAUCCCCUUGAAGUCACCACUGCAGCAGGGGACCUGGCUGGGACCUGGAUUUCCCCUCUUCACUUGCCUCCCCAGUCAGAAGUGCUAGCUCGACACCCUUGGGCUCUGGAGACUCCCAGUGUCUCAGAGAGGAGGAGCUGCACUGGGACCUACCGUCCACCCUCUCUCUGGGAUGAAAUUACUCUUCUUCGAUCCCAGCUGCAGUCUCAGGCUCAGGUGACCGAAGCACUAAGGCAGUCUGUACAGGGUCUGCUGCAAGAGCGAGAACAGCAGAAAUACAAGAUCAGUGCCCUGGAAGCAUCACUGAAGUUGCUGCAGGGGGGGCCAGAAGACAGGACUCUUUCCCUGGACCAACGCUUGGAGAUACUGAGAAGGGACCUGCAGGGCCUUCGGAGCCAGGAGGGCAUUUUCUUCCUCACUCUGGGCUUGCUGACCGACUCUACGCUAACACUGCAGGCGGCAACUGUUGUGGGAGGAGUCAGAGAUUCUGCGGGAGGAACUGAAGUUACUGCGGGACCAGCUGACAUAAGGUCCUCAGGCAGGAAGGAAGAAGAAAAGAAGUCAGGGAGCAGCCACUUAAGUUUGCUCUCAUCUGUAGGCCAGCACCAGGAGCUGCUCCUGAAACAGGUAGCUGAGGGGCGGCAGGCUCAGGCCCGUAGCUGGAAGAUGUUGGAGCAGCUGCAAAGUGGCCACAAGGGUCACGCCCUGGAGGUUGCCAUGACAGAGGUCCAGGAUGCCCGGCGGGAGCACAACUUCCUCAGGACCUCUGAUGAUGUCCUUCAGUGUAAGCUGCCCUUUGCCACCACCUUCGCCAUGUCUCUUUCUUCAUAUAGCUCUGAAGUCAAUCUUCCAGGUGGUAAUGGUAGCUGGAAACUUUUAAAGAAGCUAGUUACGGGUAAAGGCAGGGAUCCCAGUUCUGGGGGAGGCUGACUCUGAAUGGGUGGAUGACAACUGGGUAGAAUGGAGUCUCUGCCUCCUUCUUUGUGAAUCUAUCAACCUCUGCUGCUGCUUCUUCCAAGUCAAGUUCUCCCAGGGAGCACCCUUCCUAACCUGGAGCCCAGCUGCUUUCAGCACCAUGGCCUGAGUCUUGAGCAAGAGGACCCAUUCCUUCAGGACCCUAAGAUGCUCCUGAGUGACCUGUAAGGAUUUAGAAGAGUAGUGGAAUGAAGCCUUCCAUGUCCACCCUCCCCUCCAAGACCCUGUUUCUGGGCCACCUCUAGCAGGUGCCUGCCUUUUCUAUUGGGGCUUUGCACUGUACUGCCUGUCUACUCCCCAGCUGCAAUAAAAUGGCUUACCCCUC